AAAAAAAGUAAUAAUAACUCUUCUUUUUAAAUUUAGAACUAAAAGUGAACGAAUCAGUUGUUUCCAGCCUCCUCCUUGCAUUCAUCAUUUUUAUUUUUGCUCUGUUGAAUCGACCUUGAGGUUGUCCUGGGCGACCACCUCCAGCCUUCUGAAUACUGGGACAAUAACACCUGCACACCAGAAGAAGGCACCAGAUCUCAUAGAUGGCAGUGAGCCACCAUGUGGUUGCUGUGAAUUUGAACUCAGGACCUCUGGAAGAGCAGACUGUGCUCUUAAGCUCUGAGCCAUCUUUCCAUCCCCCCUAGUGAUACAUUCUUAAAGUUCGUAUUGUAAGCACCUCUUCUGAAGGCUGCACUGGCUGCUUUGUACAAAAGGACCAUCAGUCAAAAAACAGCCACCCAGACUACCAGUAUGCCAGCACCGUCACUCCUGGGACCCCUACACAACAGCCACCUGUGGUGGCAGAUGCUGGUAAUCCCCAAGUAAAGUGAAGAGCGUAGCCAGGACAGAAAGAGAAGGGCAGCAUCUGAAGAAAGAUUUCUAUACAAAAACUGUAACACAGGGUUAAGGGUCCCCGUAUCAAGGCCUGUUACACCAGAGGCCCCUGCUCCCACCUGACUACUGCCUCUGUUUGCUACUGGCAAACCACAUUCUGGGGUGUACCAGCUUACCUGAAAUUUUACUUCCUGAGCAGAGAUAUGUUUGAAACAAAAAGAGUAAGGAAGAAGCUGAAAACAUACUUUCAAUGCAAGCAUUUGGGAGGUGGAGGGAGGCAGGAAGAUCAAGAGUUUAAAGUUAUCUUCAGCCCCAAACUAAGUUUGAGAACAGCUUGAGCUAUGUGAAACUGUCACAAAAACAAAACCAAACAAAUAAAAACUCGUUAGGUAAACUGAUAGACAUGUAACUACAAUGAUCAGUCAUGGUGGCACACAAUUUAAUUCCAGUGUUGAGGAAGCAGGGUCACGCAGGUUCCUGUGGCUCACCAGUCAACCAGCCAAACUAAUUGGCCAGCUCCAGGUCCUGGCGAGAGACCUUGUCUCAGAGAACGUGGUAGGCAUCUCCUGAGGAAUAACUGUUGGGGCUGAUCUGGAGCUAUUAUGUAUCAAAUGUUAAUUGUUUGCCCCUCCCCAAGAUCCUUACAAGGAAAGUCUCACUUAUCCAAAAUGACAUGGUGUAAACCUUACCUGCCAAACUGUCCCUGGUUGGCAAAUAAAGUUACCUACUCCUGGGCUAGGGAGGAGCCAAGGUUCUGGGAGAGAUCAUGAGGAGAAGAGAAAGAAGAAGAAGGGGCAGGUCACCAUGGGUUAGCGUGAACUAGAAGCAUGUGGCUGGGAGGAGCUUGCUCUGAGGAUUGGCAUGAUGGAGAGAAGCGGCCCAAAUGGAAAACAUGUACAAGUAUUUAUGGGGAUUGUGGCUGAGACAUAGACAAGAUAGCGUAGAGGGUUAAUAAUACCUGCCCAGCCCCAGAGCAUUAAGUCUUAUCAGAAAUCUAACAGGUUAGCCAGGAGGUGCUGGUGCACACUUGUAACCUCAGUGCUCAGGAGGCAGAGGCAGGAUUAUCUCUGUAAAUUCAAGGACAGCCUCGUCUAUAAAGCAAGUCAGGACAGCCAGGACUGUUACACAGAGAAACCCUGUCUUGAAAAACAAACAAACAAACAAAAUCUAACAGGGUGUUGUGUCUUUUAUUUAUAAAAUGCAAGUUAAGGAAUAACUGUUGCCUUAAUAAUUAUAUGAAUCAAUAUUAAAUAUUAAUCAUUCAUUCAACAGAUAA